CAUGCACUUUAAGCACCUCUCCUUAAAUCUUGAGGCUGGGGUUCCUGAGGGUGCACAGAUCC
rnacentral:snoRNA from 1 species